rnacentral:rRNA from 1 species
GCCGCGAGGAAGUCGGCGCCGACGACCGGCGGCGUGAAGAAGCCCCACCGCUACAGGCCCGGGACCGUGGCGCUCCGUGAGAUCCGCAAGUACCAGAAGAGCACGGAGCUGCUGAUCCGCAAGCUGCCCUUCCAGCGCCUGGUGAGGGAGAUCGCCCAGGACUUCAAGACCGACCUCCGCUUCCAGAGCCACGCAGUGCUGGCCCUCCAGGAGGCGGCCGAGGCGUACCUGGUGGGACUCUUCGAGGACACCAACCUGUGCGCCAUCCACGCCAAGCGCGUCACCAUCAUGCCCAAGGACAUCCAGCUCGCCCGCCGCAUCCGUGGCGAAAGGGCCUAA